AUGCAGCCAUGCCGCGUGUAUGAAGAAGGCCUUCGGGUUGUAAAGUACUUUCAGCAGUGAGGAAGGUGGUAGUGUUAAUAGCACUAUCAUUUGACGUUAGCUGCAGAAGAAGCACCGGCUAACUCCGUGCCAGCAGCCGCGGUAAUACGGAGGGUGCGAGCGUUAAUCGGAAUUACUGGGCGUAAAGCGCAUGCAGGUGGUUUGUUAAGUCAGAUGUGAAAGCCCGGGGCUCAACCUCGGAAUUGCAUUUGAAACUGGCAGACUAGAGUACUGUAGAGGGGGGUAGAAUUUCAGGUGUAGCGGUGAAAUGCGUAGAGAUCUGAAGGAAUACCGGUGGCGAAGGCGGCCCCCUGGACAGAUACUGACACUCAGAUGCGAAAGCGUGGGGAGCAAACAGGAUUAGAUACCCUGGUAGUCCACGCCGUAAACGAUGUCUACUUGGAGGUUGUGGCCUUGAGCCGUGGCUUUCGGAGCUAACGCGUUAAGUAGACCGCCUGGGG
rnacentral:rRNA from 1 species